AUACGGAGGAUCCGAGCGUUAUCCGGAUUUAUUGGGUUUAAAGGGUGCGCAGGCGGCCAUUUAAGUCAGCGGUUAAAUCGUGGGGCUCAACCCCAUUCUGCCGUUGAUACUGGGUGGCUUGAUUGCGGUCGAGGUUGGCGGAAUUCGUUGUGUAGCGGUGAAAUGCAUAGAUAUGACGAAGAACACCGAUUGCGUAGGCAGCUGACCAGACCGCAAAUGACGCUCAUGCACGAAAGUGCGGGGAUCGAACAGGAUUAGAUACCCUGGUAGUCCGCACAGUAAACGAUGAAUACUUGUUUUCGGCGAUAUAAUGUCGGAGGCAAAGCGAAAGCGAUAAGUAUUCCACCUGGGGAGUACGCCGGCAACGGUGAAAAUCAAAGGAAUUGACGGG
rnacentral:rRNA from 1 species